GUUUAGUUAACACUUUCAUUACCGCUACGAUUUUCACGAUGUUUUCUCGGGAGCCGCCUACAUUUUACGUUGGACUCGCUAGGUGAGUCGCCGGCGCUGCGAUACGAAUCAUUCGACUCGCCACGCGAGUUCAGUGGCAUUGCGUUAGGGUAAAAACUAUGUUCUGUUAUUUUUGUGGCCGUGACAGUGUACGUUACGUGUUUAAAGCAAUUAACUAGUAUAUGGUGUAAUUUAACAAAAAGAAAAUGGCAAGAAACACUAUAAAUAAACGAAAAGGCCACCACAAAACACAAUAACAUAGAACACAAGAAUCUCAAAGUCCAGAAAACGUUUGCCAGGGGUUAAAACAGUAGGUACUCCAACAGGUCCAGUAAUCGAAAGCCAAGUCACAAUGAUAGAAAACAAAUAUACGCGUGCGAUAAGGAAAGGGUCGUGCUUAACACUAAUCUAUAUAUAAAGAAAGUCGGGUUUGUUACAACACUUCACUCGAGAUUGACCAAUGAGAGCUUGGCAAAAACAAUGUUAUCAGUGCUUUUAUUGCUUACUAACCAGAGCGUUCAUGUUAAAAAAUACCGGUUCCUUUUGUUUUGCCGGCAAUUUUUAACAAUGCGAAGGGAUCCUCUUUCAGUUGUAACUCUUAAAGUAAUAGACCGAGAGUUGAGUUUGUGUUUUCUGCACCGUUCGUUUAACAAAAACGCAAGGACAGACUCAAAAACUUAGAAGUACCCAUUUGGUGAACACCAAAUUCGAGCCCCUACAAGGUGUCGAACACAAUCCGCCGUUGUUUUACGAGUGAAUGUGACUUUUGGUAAAAUGAAAAUAAAAGUAUCUACCUUU
rnacentral:lncRNA from 1 species